ensembl:rRNA 5S_rRNA 5S ribosomal RNA
GUCUAUGGCCACACCACCCUGAAUGCUCCCGAUCUUGUCUGAUCUCUGAAGCUAAGCAGGCUCGGGCCUGGCUUAUACUUGGAUGGGAAUAUGUAUUUUCUUCAAGGUUGCAUCUUGAUGUAAUUCUGGUAACAGUGA